UACGUAGGGUGCAAGCGUUAAUCGGAAUUACUGGGCGUAAAGAGCUCGUAGGUGGUUUGUCGCGUUGUUCGUGAAAACUCACAGCUUAACUGUGGGCGUGCGGGCGAUACGGGCAGACUUGAGUACUGCAGGGGAGACUGGAAUUCCUGGUGUAGCGGUGGAAUGCGCAGAUAUCAGGAGGAACACCGGUGGCGAAGGCGGGUCUCUGGGCAGUAACUGACGCUGAGGAGCGAAAGCGUGGGGAGCGAACAGG
rnacentral:rRNA from 1 species